GAGAUGGAGCGUCCUUUCCGGGAGGUGGCGAGGUGAGCGGGCGGACGGGAUCUGAGACCUCCUACGGAGAAAAAUGUGCGAAUCUGAGCUGUGGGAGCAGGAGAAACCAACCGGCUGCAGUUUGGGCUUCAUUCUUCGUGCUUACAUACAGUCUGCCUUGUACCCUGAUGGUGAGACUGAGGCACAAACUGAGUCACUCAACUCUCAAGGCAGAGCUGAGACAGUUUCGUGGAGACCUGCCCUUCUCUGAUUAUAUACGGUAUAAUAUACAGUGAGUGAGGGCCUCCAAAGCCAUUCAGAGAAAGAGACAGCCAGCAAGACAGGGAACACAAGCAGGGGUAGUGGGAGAGGAAGAAGC